UAGAGGCAUUAUGGUAGGUGACGCUUAUAGGUAAUAUUUUGACUAGGGAUUGAAUAAUAAUUUUCCUUCUACUUAGGACAUAAACCUUGUACUGCUAAUUGAGCCAAUUUGAUAUAAAGUCAAGUGAUAUAUUUAACAAAUGACUUAAAGUGAAUGGAUUAUAUGGUUUGUUGAGUAUCUGAAACCCAAGGAUUCAGUCUUGGUUAGGAUUUCAUGCAUUGAUCCUUUGAGGACAAUGAUAUAACCCUUUGAAAAUAAUGGUUUACCCCUUUGAGGUCGACGGUCUAAGCCAUCGUCCUCAGAGGGUUGAGUGACCAGCAAAGAUUACCCACAUAAGAGUUCUGACAACGAACUCUUGGUACACUAGAUUAGUUAACGAAGUAUGACACUGAGGGAGGCUUGGUGUUGGGGGAAUUAAAGAAAAUUGUUCCUCUUGUAUAGUACUUUUUCCUCCCCUCGCAGUGUGUGUGUGUGUGUGUGUGUGUGUGUGUGUGUGUGUGUACGUGUGUCUUGCAUCAGCCGUGUUACUCUCACUCUCCCCCGCCCUUCACCACACCCGGCGCCCGCACCUUCCCCUGACACCCUUUUUCAUGUUUCGUAAUCAAUAAUUUCGUCCUACGUAGGUUUAUAUUAAAUCAAUAAGGUCUUACUUCAUUUAUAAAUCUAUUCUUUUCACUCGUGUAAGCCUCUACCUGCUAUAGCACAUGGUUGGACGGGCAGGUCUUGAUCUCCCGAAUCUUUGCAUUCAACGGCUUGUGGGUUACUCCGGCCUCUUGGUAGGAUGCUGGUUCACCGCAGGGUUGUUCCACCAUAGACGAGUACAACCGAUAGUACAACCAUUGACGGUUUCACUACUGUAUACGAGGAUAGGGAACAAGAAGAAAACCCAAUCCUUAUUCCGAUCAAUAAUCGAACUCGAUUCCUUUGACUUGUGAGGCGAGCAUUCUACCAUUAAGCACGAAUAUGAUUUGUUUACCAUAUUUUCGUUAAAUUUUCUUACUUUUUCUGGACUUCUACACUAUGUCAAGAUAAAAACUGGUCUUUCUCUUAUUCUGUAUAAACUUAGUAUUACGGAAACAUUCCCCUGUACGAAAGUUUCACCAAGUGCGUCAUUCACCAGCAGAGAGAAGUAAGAAGCAGCCGAGAAACUGAUCUGACGAAAGAGAACCUCCCGCCAAGACCAGCAACAAGCAGUAAUCCUUAACAAGGAUGACGUCAGGGGGAGGGUGGCGGCGAGUGGCAGUGGCGGCGGUGGUGAUGUGUCUGAUGGCGGCGGCGACGACGGCUGACCAAGAGGAGCCUGAAGGAGUCACGACCGCAGAAUUCACCGAAAACGACCUGACACAGAACUUCACAGGCAGCGACGAUGAGGGAGACGCCUCUGGUGGUGGUGAGGGUGGAAGUGGAGUGAAUGACAGCCAGGCGACACCAACAAGUGCGACGAACGCAAACAACACGGAAGUAGGAGGAGCAGCAGAAGGAGGAGGAGGAGCAGCAGAAGGAGGAGGAGGAGAAGCAGAAGGAGAAGCAGUAGCAGCAGGAGGAGAAGGAAUAACAGAGG